rnacentral:tRNA from 1 species
GUCCAGGGGUGGGAACCGAACCCACAGUGUUCCGCUUACCGGGCAGAUGCCAUGUCCACUAGGCUACCCUGGA